rnacentral:rRNA from 1 species
UACGGAAGGCAGCAGUGGGGAAUAUUGCACAAUGGGCGAAAGCCUGAUGCAGCUAUGCCGCGUGUAUGAAGAAGGCCUUAGGGUUGUAAAGUACUUUCAGCAGGGAGGAAAGAAAUAAAACUAAUAAUUUUAUUUUGUGACGUUACCUGAAGAAGAAGCACCGGCUAACUCCGUGCCAGCAGCCGCGGUAAUACGGAGGGUGCAAGCGUUAAUCAGAAUUACUGGGCGUAAAGAGCGCGUAGGUGGUUUUUUUAAAGUCAGAUGUGAAAUCCCCUAGGCUUAACCUAGGAACUGCAUUUUGAAACUGAAAAACUAGAGUAUCGUAGAGGGAGGUAGAAUUCUAGGUGUAGCGGUGAAAUGCGUAGAUAUCUGGAGGAUACCUGUGGCGAAAGCGGCCUCUAAACGAUACUGACACUGAGGUGCGAAAGCGUGGGGAGCAAACAGGGAUUAGAUACCCGU